rnacentral:misc_RNA from 1 species
CGGUUCGAGUCCGCUUACCUCCAUUGGCCGACCGCUUGAACCUAUUUAGUUUGAUGGUCUUUGUGAGAUGUGAUUUGGAUUAAUCCGCUGAUGGAACCUAGCUUCCUCUCAUUCCAUGCCUUAUUAGGCAAGGUUGAUAGGACGCUGGGCCCACUCCAAUCCUUAAGGAAAGGAGAGAUGUUCAGUA